GACAGAGGGGGCGAAGCGUUGCUCGGAAUUGACUGGGCGUAAAGGGCGCGUAGGCGGGUGGUCAAGUCAGGGGUGAAAUGCUUCCGCUCAACGGGAGAACAGCUUUUGAUACUGGCCAUCUUGAGGGGGGUAGGGGCAUGUGGAACUUCCGGUGGAGCGGUGAAAUGCGUAGAUAUCGGAAGGAACGCCGGUGGCGAAAGCACUCUGCUGGGCCGACACUGACACUGAGAGACGAAAGCUAGGGGAGCGAAUGGG
rnacentral:rRNA from 1 species